UACAGAGGUCUCAAGCGUUUGUUCGGAUUCAUUGGGCGUAAAGGGUGCGUAGGUGGCGAGGUAAGUCAGGUGUGAAAUUUCGGAGCUUAACUCCGAAACUGCAUUUGAUACUGCCUUGCUUGAGGACUGGAGAGGAGACUGGAAUUCACGGUGUAGCAGUGAAAUGCGUAGAUAUCGUGAGGAAGACCAGUGGCGAAGGCGGGUCUCUGGACAGUUCCUGACACUGAGGCACGAAGGCCAGGGGAGCAAACGGG
rnacentral:rRNA from 1 species